GCGGGGUCGCCAUGGCGGACGUGCAGCAGCUUCGGGUGCAGGAGGCGGUGGACACCAUGGUGAAGAGUCUGGAGAGAGAGAAUAUCCGGAAGAUGCAGGGCCUCAUGUUCCGGUGCAGCGCUGACUGUUGUGAGGACAGCCAGGCGUCCAUGCAGCAGGUGCACCAGUGCAUUGAGCGCUGCCACGCACCUCUGGCUCAAGCCCAGGCCCUGGUUACCAGCGAGUUGGAGAAGUUCCAGGACCGCCUGGCCCGGUGCACCGUGCAUUGCAACGACAAAGCCAAAGACUCCAUAAAUGCAGGGAGUAAAGAGCGUCAGGUGAAGCGGCAGCUGGAGAGUUGUGUGACCAAGUGCGUAGAUGACCAUAUGAACCUCAUUCCCACCUUGACCAAGAAGAUGAAGGAGUCUCUCUCAUCCAUUCAGAAAUAGCAGUCUUUGCCAUUGGCCAUGGAGGCUGAGGGCAGGAACCUGUUUAAAAUGAAGAGUGCGAAUGUUGGUCUUUUAAGCAGUUUAGGGAUGAAGAAAUUAAGGAUGGCAGCAAGUUUAAGGCAUGUGUCACUUGCCUCUGGACAGGGUUCUUUUAUGUUUUAAUCCUAGAAAGUGAAAUGGGGGAAAAAACUGGUGCUAAAGUUUGGGUCAGAGAGUUUUUGAGAGCCUAAAUUUUAUGUGGCAAAUGCUUAUCCUGGCAGCAGGCAUUUCCCUCAUAUGAAGCCAGAGCCCUCUGAGGUACCGACAAGCUGACAGUGUCCUCUAACCUGCCAGUGGUCUGGUGGGAGGGGAGGAGAGGUGUUUCUGUUUGUUGCCAACCUCCUGUUUACCAGAAGCAUUACCACACCAUUGUCCAUAAGCUGUGAAACAAAACCCAUGAGGUUACUAAUUGAGAAGUGGAAAAACGGUUUCUGAGUAUUUGUUUGGUUUGGUUUGGUUUUAGGUACAAGGGCAUAAAGUUCAUUUAAGAUGUGGAGUUGAGGGAGGGAGUUUGGAUAAGAACUUGAAAAGGUUCCUUUGGAUAGAUAUCGUUUCUGUCCAAGGUGUGGACAUGCAUUUAAGUGCUCACACAUUACACCUUCCAGCUCGGAAACCCUACAGAAACAUGAGAGGCAAUGUCACCCUGGACAUGGAAGCAGACCUUCCUUCUCACUGGCUGCCGUGAUGGGUCCUAAGCCCGUCUGCAGCAGUGACGGGACAAUCUUGCCGUGGUCCUCCACCUUGAAGGGCAAGAGGGUUUUGAUUGUGCUGUAUACCAAUAUCCAGGAAUAAACAGUGAGAGAGGAACUGUUGCUGCUUCAUUAAGAGUUAUGAAGUACUGGAUUUGGGAAAAACCUGGUUUUCAGGAAUGAAACCUGAAUCCAGUAUUGCUUACGUAGCCGCCUCAAAUAACAGAGCCCUACUGAGACAAUCUUUUGGCAACAGGAAGAGCAAGGGAGAAAAAAGAAGGGCAGCCCCCCAUUACCAAAUACCACUUUUGCCGGGCCCUUUGCAACAUACAGUGUUCCUACCCCAGCUCUGGCACCUUACUGUUUUGAUAAGGAGCUGCUGUCUUUUUACCAACUUAUUACUUGAAAUGAUAAAAUAGCUUGUCUGUUUGCCGUUUCAAGACUGUGAUAUAUUUUCCUAAUGGUCUGGUUUUAAAAAAUAAAUAAGGUUUAAUUUUCCUCUA